CUACGGGAGGCAGCAGUGGGGAAUAUUGGACAAUGGGCGCAAGCCUGAUCCAGCCAUGCCGCGUGAGUGACGAAGGUCUUCGGAUUGUAAAGCUCUUUUGGCGGGGACGAUAAUGACGGUACCCGCAGAAUAAGCCCCGGCUAACUUCGUGCCAGCAGCCGCGGUAAUACGAAGGGGGCUAGCGUUGUUCGGAAUCACUGGGCGUAAAGCGCACGUAGGCGGAUUUGUUAGUCAGGGGUGAAAUCCCGGGGCUCAACCUCGGAACUGCCUUUGAUACUGAAAAUCUUGAGUUCGGGAGAGGUGAGUGGAACUGCGAGUGUAGAGGUGAAAUUCGUAGAUAUUCGGAGGAACACCAGUGGCGAAGGCGGCUCACUGGUCCGGUACUGACGCUGAGGUGCGAAAGCGUGGGGAGCAAACAGGAUUAGAAACCCCGGUAGUCC
rnacentral:rRNA from 1 species